AUGGGAUCUUAGUUCCCCGAGCAGGGAUCAAACCCGCGCCCCCUGCAUUGGAAGCGUGGAGUCUUAACCAUUGGACCGCCAGGGAAGUCCCCACUGUGGAUAUUCACACCCAAGACCUAUACAGGCCAUACAGAAGCUGAGCUGGAAAUGUCUGAAGCGCGACCAAGACAGAGCCCCCUGCUGGCUGCUGACCCCGGCAAGGGCUCAAGCAGGAGUCAGAUGUGCUCUGUCAGUGGUGACAACCUAUCAGUCGCUGUGGAAGCGCAAAUCCUUCAGUGAUCUGGUAUAGCUGUGUGACAAGUCACCUGAAACUCCUCACUGGAAUUGAGAAGUAGCUGGAGAAGAACCACCGACACCUGGGGGCCGAGUAAGGGCUGCAGGACAAGCAAAUACCAGGUGAAAACCACCAUGGCAAUGAUCCCUUCUGUUCAAAAAU